ensembl:lncRNA
GCAGGCCAGCCCCUAGAGAAGGCUUCCUUACCUGAGAUUUUCCCUUCUGACACUCUCACUGUUUGAGUCUUGCUCUGUUUUCAUUCUUUUUUCUUAGAAACUGUUUAUUUUCCAUCAACCUUACUUCCAUUUUCUGUUGAACAGUCUGUGGAAGGACAGACUAAGACCAUUCAGUGGUUGUACCCACCCGUUUGGUGGCCUGAGCAGUGGCAGUUGCAGACCAAUCAGACUCAGUAGGGAACUGCUGAACAGGCUCAGGGGACACCUGCACCUUCCGACCAGCCGGCGACCUCUGGUUGGGUAGCAGUAAAUUCGGGAGUUGGAGCAGUCCAUUCACCCUGAAAUUCCUCUUGGCCACAGCCAUUUCAGCCGCGGCCUGCUCUUCCUUUUCAAUCUCUUCAGGAUCUCUGAGAAGUAGAGACGAGACGCGACUUCCAAGGGAGUUCAUGGGAUGGCGCCACGCAUGCGCAGAAUUUCCCGGACCACCAUCCAUCAUCUCAGUCCCGCUCAGUGAGCUCCCUGUGGUUGCACGGGAUGACACUGUCCACAUGGCAGAGGAGGGUCUGUGUUAUAUAACAAUGGUUGGCAGGUUAACGUAGGACGCCUCUGUGAGAGGCUGGUGGUCGGCCCUGGGAUCAGUAACCAGCGGAGGUUGGGGCUGCAGGAAGGCCCCCUGGAACUGGUGAGUGAAGUGGCCUCCAAAGGAGUGGUCUACCUGCAGCAGCAAACUUCAGCACAGCUCAUUGGCCGGUAUUCCUGAAGGAAAUGACUUGGACAUCAGCCGGGUUUUCAGUGGCAACAAUGGCGCAAGCUGCUUGCAGAAGCUUUUCCCAGGUUCUCUUCAGAUUAAUGUAGAGGCCAUCACUUUUCCUUUUGAGGAUGUACUGUUCCAUUUGGAAGUCAAGGUUGAUGCCACCUAAGUGAAUUCCUGCUGCAAGGAAUUUGAGAAAAUCCUCCUUCCUCAUUUGCAGGACAUCAAGGGCUCUGGACAUUGUGAAAGUUUCCCUUUAAGUUAGUGCGGGAACCCAGAACAGUGCAGACGGACCCCUCUAUGGGUAGCGCAGAAAGACCUUGCUCUGUUUUUCAUAACACCUCUUGGUUUUCACAGGACAUCUCUCCAACUGAUUGAAGACUUAGACUGUACUUAUUCUUGUCUUCUUUGGCCCAGGACCCUCAACCACGCUCUGUGGGGUGGUUGACUCCUCACAGUCCCAGCUGCUUUCCUGUGGAUGCACCCCACUGGCCGAUACGUCUUGUAAAGUGUGGCUUCCACAACUGGACACGAGAUUCCAGCUGAUGUUCCUGCAAAUCAGAAUUGAUUUGAACUAAGGUGAAUGAUAAACAUGCGCUGUCAGACUGCCUCCUGGGAGCCGACUGGAUGACUUAUUAGAAAAGGUUGACAGAGAAGAAAAGGAGGUCUAUGGACAUAUGCAUUGACAAAUGAGGCCCCUCUGCAAAUGAAGAUGGUGUCAUCCAGCAGCUAGAGGCUAAAAAGGGGCACUCUACAAACCGAAUGAAAACAUAUUGAGUUAUAAUCAGAAGCACAAGCAAAUGGAAGCAAAAGUGUGACUAUCAACAGCGAGCUGCAGUGUGGAUUCUCGGUACGGCGGGACUGGUCUCCAUCAAGUGUUUUGUGCGAGUUUAGACAGCAACAGUGAUGUCACCUAGGAAGGCUCUUCCCGGGGUCAGAGUCUACAAGGGAGG